rfam:Salmo salar isolate Sally breed double haploid chromosome ssa02, whole genome shotgun sequence.
CCCUGUGGCUCAGUUGGUAGAGCAUGGUGUUUGCAGCGUCAGCAUAGUGUGUGCAACGCCAGGGUUGUGGGUUCGAUUCCCACUGGGG